rnacentral:rRNA from 1 species
ACCGUGUACGUACAAGCAGUGGGAGCCUCUUAAUGGGGUGACUGCGUACCUUUUGUAUAAUGGGUCAGCGACUUAUAUUCUGUAGCAAGGUUAACCGAAUAGGGGAGCCGAAGGGAAACCGAGUCUUAACUGGGCGUUAAGUUGCAGGGUAUAGACCCGAAACCCGGUGAUCUAGCCAUGGGCAGGUUGAAGGUUGGGUAACACUAACUGGAGGACCGAACCGACUAAUGUUGAAAAAUUAGCGGAUGACUUGUGGCUGGGGGUGAAAGGCCAAUCAAACCGGGAGAUAGCUGGUUCUCCCCGAAAGCUAUUUAGGUAGCGCCUCGUGAAUUCAUCUCCGGGGGUAGAGCACUGUUUCGGCAAGGGGGUCAUCCCGACUUACCAACCCGAUGCAAACUGCGAAUACCGGAGAAUGUUAUCACGGGAGACACACGGCGGGUGCUAACGUCCGUCGUGAAGAGGGAAACAACCCAGACCGCCAGCUAAGGUCCCAAAGUCAUGGUUAAGUGGGAAACGAUGUGGGAAGGCCCAGACAGCCAGGAUGUUGGCUUAGAAGCAGCCAUCAUUUAAAGAAAGCGUAAUAGCUCACUGGUCGAGUCGGCCUGCGCGGAAGAUGUAACGGGGCUAAACCAUGCACCGAAGCUGCGGCAGCGACGCUUAUGCGUUGUUGGGUAGGGGAGCGUUCUGUAAGCCUGCGAAGGUGUACUGUGAGGUAUGCUGGAGGUAUCAGAAGUGCGAAUGCUGACAUAAGUAACGAUAAAGCGGGUGAAAAGCCCGCUCGCCGGAAGACCAAGGGUUCCUGUCCAACGUUAAUCGGGGCAGGGUGAGUCGACCCCUAAGGCGAGGCCGAAAGGCGUAGUCGAUGGGAAACAGGUUAAUAUUCCUGUACUUGGUGUUACUGCGAAGGGGGGACGGAGAAGGCUAUGUUGGCCGGGCGACGGUUGUCCCGGUUUAAGCGUGUAGGCUGGUUUUCCAGGCAAAUCCGGAAAAUCAAGGCUGAGGCGUGAUGACGAGGCACUACGGUGCUGAAGCAACAAAUGCCCUGCUUCCAGGAAAAGCCUCUAAGCAUCAGGUAACAUCAAAUCGUACCCCAAACCGACACAGGUGGUCAGGUAGAGAAUACCAAGGCGCUUGAGAGAUUCACUCGGGUGAAGGAACUAGGCAAAAUGGUGCCGUAACUUCGGGAGAAGGCACGCUGAUAUGUAGGUGAAGUCCCUUGCGGAUGGAGCUGAAAUCAGUCGAAGAUACCAGCUGGCUGCAACUGUUUAUUAAAAACACAGCACUGUGCAAACACGAAAGUGGACGUAUACGGUGUGACGCCUGCCCGGUGCCGGAAGGUUAAUUGAUGGGGUUAGCGGUAACGCGAAGCUCUUGAUCGAAGCCCCGGUAAACGGCGGCCGUAACUAUAACGGUCCUAAGGUAGCGAAAUUCCUUGUCGGGUAAGUUCCGACCUGCACGAAUGGCGUAAUGAUGGCCAGGCUGUCUCCACCCGAGACUCAGUGAAAUUGAACUCGCUGUGAAGAUGCAGUGUACCCGCGGCAAGACGGAAAGACCCCGUGAACCUUUACUAUAGCUUGACACUGAACAUUGAGCCUUGAUGUGUAGGAUAGGUGGGAGGCUUUGAAGUGUGGACGCCAGUCUGCAUGGAGCCGACCUUGAAAUACCACCCUUUAAUUGUUUGAGUUCUAACGUUGGCCCCUAAUCGGGGUUGCGGACAGUGUCUGGUGGGUAGUUUGACUGGGGCGGUCUCCUCCUAAAGAGUAACGGAGGAGCACGAAGGUUGGCUAAUCCUGGUCGGACAUCAGGAGGUUAGUGCAAUGGCAUAAGCCAGCUUGACUGCGAGCGUGACGGCGCGAGCAGGUGCGAAAGCAGGUCAUAGUGAUCCGGUGGUUCUGAAUGGAAGGGCCAUCGCUCAACGGAUAAAAGGUACUCCGGGGAUAACAGGCUGAUACCGCCCAAGAGUUCAUAUCGACGGCGGUGUUUGGCACCUCGAUGUCGGCUCAUCACAUCCUGGGGCUGAAGUAGGUCCCAAGGGUAUGGCUGUUCGCCAUUUAAAGUGGUACGCGAGCUGGGUUUAGAACGUCGUGAGACAGUUCGGUCCCUAUCUGCCGUGGGCGCUGGAGAACUGAGGGGGGCUGCUCCUAGUACGAGAGGACCGGAGU